rnacentral:rRNA from 1 species
GACGAACGCUGGCGGCGUGCCUAAUACAUGCAAGUUGAGCGAUGAAGCUUGGUGCUUGCACCAAUUUGAAGAGCAGCGAACGGGUGAGUAACGCGUGGGGAAUCUGCCUUUGAGCGGGGGACAACAUUUGGAAACGAAUGCUAAUACCGCAUAACAACUUUAAACAUAAGUUUUAAGUUUGAAAGAUGCAAUUGCAUCACUCAAAGAUGAUCCCGCGUUGUAUUAGCUAGUUGGUGAGGUAAAGGCUCACCAAGGCGAUGAUACAUAGCCGACCUGAGAGGGUGAUCGGCCACAUUGGGACUGAGACACGGCCCAAACUCCUACGGGAGGCAGCAGUAGGGAAUCUUCGGCAAUGGACGAAAGUCUGACCGAGCAACGCCGCGUGAGUGAAGAAGGUUGUCGGAUCGUAAAACUCUGUUGGUAGAGAAGAACGUUGGUGAGAGUGGAAAGCUCAUCAAGUGACGGUAACUACACAGAAAGGGACGGCUAACUACGUG